UACGUAGGGUGCAAGCGUUGUUCGGAAUUACUGGGCGUAAAGAGCGUGUAGGCGGCUGAUCAAGUCGGGUGUGAAAGCCCGGGGCUUACCCCCGGAAGUGCGCUCGAAACUGGUCAGCUAGAGUAUGGGAGAGGGAAGUGGAAUUCCUGGUGUAGCGGUGAAAUGCGUAGAUAUCAGGAGGAACACCGGCGGCGAAGGCGGCUUCCUGGACCAAUACUGACGCUGAGACGCGAAAGCGUGGGGAGCAAACAGG
rnacentral:rRNA from 1 species